rnacentral:rRNA from 1 species
UACGUAGGGUGCAAGCGUUGUCCGGAAUUAUUGGGCGUAAAGAGCUCGUAGGCGGUCUGUCGCGUCGAAUGUGAAAAUCCGAGGCUCAACCUCGGACCUGCAUUCGAUACGGGCAGACUAGAGUUCGGUAGGGGAGUCUGGAAUUCCUGGUGUAGCGGUGAAAUGCGCAGAUAUCAGGAGGAACACCGAUGGCGAAGGCAGGUCUCUGGGCAUUAACUGACGCUGAGGAGCGAAAGCAUGGGGAGCGAACAGG